rnacentral:lncRNA from 1 species
GUUGGAAGAAGUUUGGAGUAGGGUCAUCCGUGGUCGGAAGAAGUCCGGGAGAGACCCGGGGAAUGGUUGGUUGCUGUAGGAGGUCGACUGUCAGUGAGGCCCAGAGGGCCAUUGGGGCGGCACAAUGGGUGAACGCAGAAGUCCAUUAUCGGAGAAGUCUGGACGACCGAGGGAGUUCAGAGAGGCGCCACACAUAAGGUCGGG